ensembl:lncRNA
UCUCUGGUUGGAGAUCUCUCCCUUCUGGAUUUUUCCUUGCGAGCGUAGAUCUUCGGAGCUGGAGAUGUUCAAAGCUUCCGGAUGACAGAGCCGGAGAGGCCUUUAUGCUGCACGGACUCAGUGACCACAAGAGGUGAAUGUCUUCAUCUGUGCACCCUGAGCUCUCCUUGGGCACUCAGAUAAAGCAUCAGAGUGGCUCAGAUCAGGACAUGCAUGUCCCAUGGCUGGGGAGUUUUCUCCAGGUCUGAGGGAUGCUAACAGCAGCCUGCUUUGCUUUUCAACAAUAGCAAGCUGAGUUGGCUUGAAGACUCCCUGCUCUCCAUCUCCUGCAUCAUCAUAGCCCACGUGGUUGUUCCUGCUCCCAACUCAGAGCUGUGCAUUCCCUCCGAGGAAGGUGAGGGUGCAGCUGCAGAUCGUACCCUGUAAAUAGAUGUCAGAAAUUCAUGACCCAUAUGAAUGAGAGCAGUGACUGACGUCCUCUGGUCUUGCUCGGCUGUGCUUGGUGACCUCAUAAGAUGCAACAAGCUGUGUAGGCUUGAAAAUUCAUCUGUCCUUCUUUUCUUGUUCUCCACAUCCUGGAUCAGCACAGCCCACGUGGUUUUCUCUGCUCCCUGUUUUCUACACGUGUGCCUGCAGGUCCCACAGGGUGAGCAGCGGAGGCCACUGUGAUGAGCAAGAACCACAGUUAACUCCAGGGCAAAAAAUAAUGGCCUUAACUGAUGGCUGCUACGUGGAGCCUGCCACUGGGUUUGCUGCUGCCCUUCCCGUUAUCUCAGGCUGCACGAUGCUUACCUUCAAGAAUUUGCUCAAUCCAAGAGAGCAAGGAAAAUGUUGUUUCACAGAUGCGUGACCCUUGCUCUGCAGGCAAGAGAACAUGUUGCUUCUCUGGUGCGUGCCCCUGCCAACCUGGGAAUGGGCUCAGUACAAGAUCCCCGUUCUGCAUCCCCUGUGUGCCUGCACGAGGCUUUAAAACCAGUGAGGUCCCUUCCCUGAGCCACUGGCAGGUCAAGUGUUCAGUCUGAUGGCUGUGCUGUUAAUCUGAGAUGUCAGUGGGGUAUGCAAGCACAAUCCUGUCUUGAUGCGUAGCAGUUUCAUCCUGGGUAGCCGUUGGGGAUUUUGAUUAGGCUAAAGGAGGUGUGCGAGAAGGGCUCCGUGUCAUUCCUUUAGGAAUCUGGGAAAAUUUCUGGGUUCUUCUGUAAUUUUCUGGAAGCCCUCUGGAAAUACAUUUGUAUAAUUAACAGAGGUGCACACAUGAAUACAAACAGAAGUCUUGUGCUUGCGAGCGCGCCGGUGCUCUAAAUGCAGACUAGUGAAAUAUAGCUCUUGCCAUAUUGAAUUCAUUCUCAGCUUCUCUUUUAUGUAAUGCAUUUCUCUCUUCUACAUAUCUCUGUGCUGUGACACUGCUGCUGUUUUGGUGGAUUGCUUCUUGUAAUCUUUCUUUUUUCAAACGGUAAACUUGUUCCUGAUGUAAUUACUGUGAUAAAGCUCUGUGGGAUGACAGAUCAUCCUUAACAGCACUGCUGCUGUUAGCUUCAGACAAGAGGACAUUCUAUUUCAAUCCUUUGUGAGAAGUGUGGUAAACAGUAAACAGGUUUGUUUUCCCCAGCGCCAUCUCCCUCUGCAUUAAGUCUGUCUGGCAAAGGAGGUGGUCCCCAGGUCCGUCUUCCACAGCACUGAGGUUCCCUUGGGACUGCUCUGCAGCCCGGAAUAGCACUGAUGCAGUGCUGCCGGGUGGACAGCAUCUCCUGCAGGAGAUGGAUUUGAUAUCAGCCAGGCACGUGCCCACCAUGCUGAUGCCAGCUGCGGGCUGCCCCUUCUGCUGGUGCUCCCACCGAGAGGUAAUAUUAUCACGUCCUCUCCCCCCCCCCCCCCAAUCCAUAAAUAAGGGACAACAAAUAUCAAUCAAGACACACUUUUCAAUCAGAAUGCGGAAGAAAAGCCUCAUGUGUACUCAUUGCCUGAAUCCUGUUUGUCCAACUGUAUGAAUCAAUGCAUUUCUGAGUAAGGGGAGAAAGCAGUUUGGGGUCCAGUCUGGCAGCUUUCCUCUAUUUUUCCUUUCCUUAACAAUCGUCUGUGACCUUUCUUCCCUUUUACUAUUAAAAAACUAAAAACUAAAAU